rnacentral:rRNA from 1 species
AUUGAACGCUGGCGGCAGGCCUAACACAUGCAAGUCGAGCGGCAGCGGGAAAGUAGCUUGCUACUUUUGCCGGCGAGCGGCGGACGGGUGAGUAAUGCCUGGGAAAUUGCCCAGUCGAGGGGGAUAACAGUUGGAAACGACUGCUAAUACCGCAUACGCCCUACGGGGGAAAGCAGGGGACCUUCGGGCCUUGCGCGAUUGGAUAUGCCCAGGUGGGAUUAGCUAGUUGGUGAGGUAAUGGCUCACCAAGGCGACGAUCCCUAGCUGGUCUGAGAGGAUGAUCAGCCACACUGGAACUGAGACACGGUCCAGACUCCUACGGGAGGCAGCAGUGGGGAAUAUUGGACAAUGGGGGAAACCCUGAUGCAGCCAUGCCGCGUGUGUGAAGAAGGCCUUCGGGUUGUAAAGCACUUUCAGCGAGGAGGAAAGGUCAGUAGCUAAUACCUGCUGACUGUGACGUUACUCGCAGAAGAAGCACCGGCUAACUCCGUGCCAGCCGCCGCCGUAAGAC